rnacentral:rRNA from 1 species
UGAGGAAUUUUCCGCAAUGGGCGCAAGCCUGACGACGCAACGCCGCGUGGAGGAUGAAGAUCUUCGGGUCGUAAACUCCUUUCGAUCGAGAAGAAUGCCUCCGGGGUUAAUACUCCUGGAGGGUGACGGUAUCAAGAGAAGAAGCCCCGGCUAACGUCGUGCCCGCAGCCGCGGUACUACGAGGGGGGCGAGCGUUGUUCGGAAUUAUUGGGCGUAAAGGGUGCGUAGGCGGUUUGGUAAGUCUGAUGUGAAAUCUAUGGGCUCAACUCAUAGUCUGCAUCGGAAACUGCCGGGCUUGAGUAUGGGAGAGGUGAGUGGAAUUCCUGGUGUAGCGGUGAAAUGCGUAGAUAUCAGGAGGAACACCUGUGGCGAAAGCGGCUCACUGGACCAUAACUGACGCUGAUGCACGAAAGCUAGGGGAGCAAAC